rnacentral:rRNA from 1 species
GAUCCUGGCUCAGAUUGAACGCUGGCGGCAGGCUUAACACAUGCAAGUCGGACGGUAACAUAAAGAAGCUUGCUUCUUUGAUGACGAGUGGCGGACGGGUGAGUAAUGCUUGGGAAUCUAGCUUAUGGAGGGGGAUAACUACGGGAAACUGUAGCUAAUACCGCGUAGAAUCGGGAUAUGAAAGUGUGGGACCUUCGGGCCACAUGCCAUAGGAUGAGCCCAAGUGGGAUUAGGUAGUUGGUG